AGCUUGCUGCUUCGCUGACGAGUGGCGGACGGGUGAGUAAUGUCUGGGAAACUGCCUGAUGGAGGGGGAUAACUACUGGAAACGGUAGCUAAUACCGCAUAACGUCGCAAGACCAAAGAGGCGGACCUUCGGGCCUCUUGCCAUCGGAUGUGCCCAGAUGGGAUUAGCUAGUAGGUGGGGUAACGGCUCACCUAGGCGACGAUCCCUAGCUGGUCUGAGAGGAUGACCAGCCACACUGGAACUGAGACACGGUCCAGACUCCUACGGGAGGCAGCAGUGGGGAAUAUUGCACAAUGGGCGCAAGCCUGAUGCAGCCAUGCCGCGUGUAUGAAGAAGGCCUUCGGGUUGUAAAGUACUUUCAGCGGGGAGGAAGGGAGUAAAGUUAAUACCUUUGCUCAUUGACGUUACCCGCAGAAGAAGCACCGGCUAACUCCGUGCCAGCAGCCGCGGUAAUACGGAGGGUGCAAGCGUUAAUCGGAAUUACUGGGCGUAAAGCGCACGCAGGCGGUUUGUUAAGUCGGAUGUGAAAUCCCCGGGCUCAACCUGGGAACUGCAUCUGAUACUGGCAAGCUUGAGUCUCGUAGAGGGG
rnacentral:rRNA from 1 species